rnacentral:lncRNA from 1 species
GUGUUUCAACUUUCACAAAUUAAUUAAUUCCACCAUUACUUCAUCGUCUUGUUCCUCUUUAUCUCUUGCAUUUAGUUUACUUUAGAAAAGAAACCAGAGUUGGAGUGGUUGAUGGAUAUUGAACCUUUGUGGAGCAGAGGGGGCUAGUAAUUUAUUUCAUGGCAAUUACACGUGAAACUUCAAUCUCUCAAACCCCAACAAAAUCCCCUCAAUAUUAUGCCCUCCUUCUCCUCUUUCUUCUUCGCCUUCUGAUUAUGAUUUCUCCUCUCUUUGCAUAUCAUCGUCAGCCUUCACUUCAACAAUCUUCACCCACAAAUUUCAACUCUUUUCCUACUUCUGCGGCUACGCCUGCUGUGACGGAACCGCCUCAGUUCAAGGCAGCAGCUCACGAGGUGCCUAGUGGUCCAAAUCCCGAGUCCAACAAGUAAGCGAAGGCACCGCCGCUACAGGCAGGCAGGCAGGCUUCCAUUGUUCCUAUUCUCAAGGGUAUUUUUUUUAAAUGUUGCAUGAGUGACGUAUAUAAAGACUACAUAUAAUACGCAAGUAGUGGUGGUUAGGGAUUUAAAUUAUGAUUUACGAAUAUAUUUUCCGUCAUGUAAAUGUUAUUACUAUAGGAUAAAUUUUGGUGAUGGUAAAAAAGGCUGAAACCAUAGAACAUAUGGUACUCGUAGUAUGAGAUCGUUGCGGUUGCUAUUUAAAUAGCUGUUGGAACUAGGCAGUAAUGAAUAUUUUUCUUAAUUUGCACUUUGCCUCCAUGUUUUACACAUCGCAUGGAAAUAUACCCGUGAUUCGGGUGGACCAAGUUGGGUUUUGGUUGCAUGAAUUUGAGGGUUAAAAUUUUGUAAUCGUUUCUGUUUGAGUUUGGUGCAGUUUUAAAUUUAGAUAAUUUUGAGUUGAUAUAUUCGAUUAGCCAGUCAGGAUUUUUGUAUUUGAUUAGCCGAUCAAUGGUUUUAAGUUUGAGUUAUUUUGAGUUUUGUAAUUUGAGUUUGACACUUAGGUGGUUGUAAAUAUUCAUCAAUUUAAUGAAAUAAGAUUACAAGUUGAAUAUCUUGAGGCAUGUUGAGCACUAUCUUAAAGGAUAUUUUGCCGUAUAGUGUAUCCUCAAGAUUCAAC